GGCUGGAUAGCAUAAUGGCAAUGUAGGAGAUUGCAAAUCUUUUGAUGGCGGUUCAAUUCCGCCUCUAGCCU
rnacentral:tRNA from 1 species